rnacentral:rRNA from 1 species
CUACGGGGGGCUCCAGUGGGGAAUAUUGCACAAUGGAGGAAACUCUGAUGCAGCAACGCCGCGUGGAGGAUGACACUUUUCGGAGCGUAAACUCCUUUUAUAUAGGAAGAAGAUGACGGUACUAUAUGAAUAAGCGCCGGCUAACUCCGUGCCAGCAGCCGCGGUAAUACGGAGGGCGCAAGCGUUACUCGGAAUCGCUGGGCGUAAAGAGCGUGUAGGCGGAUUAAAAAGUCAGAAGUGAAAUCCUAUAGCUUAACUAUAGAACUGCUUCUGAAACUCUUAAUCUAGAACAUGGGAGAGGUAGGUGGAAUUUCUGGUGUAGGGGUAAUAUCCGUAGAGAUCAGAAGGAAUACCGAUUGCGAAGGCGAUCUACUAGAACAUUAUUGACGCUGAGACGCGAAAGCGUGGGGAGCAAACAGGAUUAGAUACCCGCGUAGUC